rnacentral:rRNA from 1 species
UACGUAGGGGGCAAGCGUUAUCCGGAUUUACUGGGUGUAAAGGGAGUGCAGGCGGUCUUGCAAGUCAGAAGUGAAACCCCGCGGCUUAACUGCGGGCUUGCUUUUGAAACUGUGGGACUGGAGUGCUGGAGGGGCAAGCGGAAUUCCUAGUGUAGCGGUGAAAUGCGUAGAUAUUAGGAGGAACACCGGUGGCGAAGGCGGCUUGCUGGACAGUAACUGACGCUGAGACUCGAAAGCGUGGGGAG